GACGAACGCUGGCGGCGUGCUUAACACAUGCAAGUCGAACGGAAAGGCCCUGCUUUUGUGGGGUUCUCGAGUGGCGAACGGGUGAGUAACACGUGAGUAACCUGCCCUUGACUUUGGGAUAACUUCAGGAAACUGGGGCUAAUACCGGAUAGGAGCUCCUGCUGCAUGGUGGGGGUUGGAAAGUUUCGGCGGUUGGGGAUGGACUCGCGGCUUAUCAGCUUGUUGGUGGGGUAGUGGCUUACCAAGGCUUUGACGGGUAGCCGGCCUGAGAGGGUGACCGGCGACAGUGGGACUACGAGACGGCCCAGACUCCUACGGGAGGCAGCAGUGGGGAAUAUUGCACAAUGGGCGGAAGUCUGAUGCAGCAACGCCGCGUGCGGGAUGACGGCCUUCGGGUUGUAAACCGCUGUCGCCUGUGACGAAGCGUGAGUGACGGUAAUGGGUAAAGAAGCACCGGCUAACUACGUG
rnacentral:rRNA from 1 species